AGGAAAACUGAAUCAAAGUAAAAAUCUGUAAGGCUUUGUAGUUUAUGGGGAAAAUAAUCACUAGAUACAUAAAAUAUUUACUUUUUUUUAGCCUUUUUUUCCCCCCACAGAACAUAUAGAGGACAGGGCUUUGCUCUGCCUUCUCACUUUCUCCCCACUCACCCCCAACCUCCAGAGUGUGUUUUCCAAGUAAAAUUUUAGGCCAUAGAGAAAUUCGCAAUUGAUAGGCCAAGGUGACUGAUAAAACUCUAGAGGUCAGGAUUGGUAAUAGUGGAGCGAGGACCAGAUGGAAUUUUUGUUUAAUACUGUAUCUGAAAUUGAGGAUGGGAUAGAUAGGAAAUGACCUAUCAUUUCAUGAGGAGAUGACUUUUCUGUGAUAAUGGGACAGAGAUGAGCUUAGAUGAAUGAAUAUAUAUUUUAGCACUUACCUUUUUCCAUAAAACACAAAUAGACUUGGUGCAAAAUUACCAGUCUCACUCCAUGGUAUUGCUGAUGAGAUCGGUAAAUAAUAGAGAGAGACAUACUUCUUUAGGAGCUAGCUGACUUUAACAUAUGCUGGAGUACAAUUGACUUACAACUAUUUGGCGUUAGAAAUGAUUUUUCUAGGGCUUGGUGGGGGAAAAAUACUCGUGAAAUACCUGCCUUGACUUAAACUUCAACAUAUUUUAAAGUCAUUUUAUUAUCCCACAACUCAGAAUGUCUUCAAUUAAAGGUAAGAAAAUAAGGUGAUGGGCUACAGUGGCUUAAUCAGGUGUUCAGUUAAUGAAGUAGAAGAAGGAUACAGAUUCUAAUAAUUCACAGUUGUAGAGGUUCUAGACUGUUCUUAGUAUGAAGUCCUGGCAGUGUAUGUGGCAGAGUGAAUAAUGUUUCACGACCUGGUGAGUCAUGUGAGGACUGUGAGUAACUUUUAUCUUCUGUGUGUCCCACAUAGCGUAUAACAGUACUAUGCUAGUGAUUUGCUUGACAGUUAUUGAAUGAAUGCUAAGUUUCAAAUAUUUAUUUGAUAGUCACUUGAUUACCAAGUAAUCAAAUAAUUACUUAUAGUGUUUUAGGGAGUUUUCAGAAGAUAUUUGUGAUUAAAUAAAUGAUUAUAUAUGUAUAUUAGCAUACUGUAUGCAUUUGUCAGUUGGGAAAGAGGGGAAUAUGGAGAAGUGGGGAACUGCAUUCAGUUUUUAUUUUAUAGGCAACUAAUAUGGUCCUUUGGUUUUAUUUUAAAAUGAAACUGAGCCUUGAGCAUUUUGAGCUUUCAUGUCAAAUGCCUUGAAUGGAAGAGUAGGAAUUUCAUGUAAGUAGCUUACAUCUGCCCUGUGUGUUGGAGAAUGUGAUUAGAUAUACUUGCUUUUCUGCCCAAGGCACUAUUUUUGUAUUUAUAUUGCUUUUUGCAGGUUUACUUCUGUUAACAGGGGUCUGUGAGAAAUAAGGCUUAAAAUAUCAAUACUUCUCAUUUUUCCACAGCCUUCCAAGGCUUCCAUCUUUGUGCCAGUGUGUAGCUCUGGGUGCCAUCUAACCCCAAAAGCAGCAGUUGGGUUUAGAUGAGCUGUGUGACAUUUGGCCUACACUUAGGUCUACUCACCACCCUGGUCAGGGAACCUGGAACAAUCCUAAAACUCACCUACUCUAAUGCAGGCCAUAUUUUUUAAUUAAAAUUGAAAUUGUCACUGAGUAUUGGAAUAAGAAGGGACUUUGGGGUGGAGUGGGUGAGCAGGGCAUUGUCUUACAGAGGAGGUGUGGGGACCGGUAAGUUUUAACUUUCAUCCUUUCAAUCUCUCAGUUUCAGCAAAGAUCUUAUAAAGAAUUUUGUUGCUACCAUUAUUUCUUAAAUUCAUGAAAGAAAUGUAAGAAAUUGAGGUGUGUAAUUUUCUUGCCCGUAUUCUCUAUAUUAAAAAAAAAAUAAGAAUAUGGUUCUAUGAAUUUCUUGUGCUAUUUUUGCUUUCCUUGAAUUAUUAAAAUAUGUUGCAUAGAACUAAUAUUGUUUUCUUUUUUAUUUUUAUACAGGAAGGAGAGAAAUAUUGUUCAUGUAAUGUGUUACCUUUUUUGUCUGUGUGAUCUACAAGAGCAUGGCUGAAAUGUUACCAAUUUUAACUAGUGUUUUGACUGAAGAUUAUUAUGAAAAGUUUUACUUUUGUUAGAUUCCUAAUUAAAAAUGCCUAUACUCUUUUAUAGGAGUUUCAACUUUUGCAAUUUGGUAAUAACAGAUUUAGGUAAGUAAAAAAUGGGAAUCUCAUACAGUUCUGAAGAUCUAAGUUUGGUUGAGAAUUUAAUGUUUCAUCACCAGUAAAUUCAAUUAAAGACUUUUGAUUCAAUUAAAGACUCAGUUCUGCCUACACCUGCAAGAACUGAGUUGAUCUGUACAUCAACAUUUCUGAUGUUUCUUUGGUAGUUGCUGCUGGAGUCAGAAGUUAGGAACAAAUCUAAUGGCCUUUGUAAUGUCCUCUGUCAUUUCACGGAGGAAUGACUUAGAGGAACAAAGCUUUCCUGUGAUUUCUUUCUUCAACAGAUGGCUAAUGGCACAGCAUUGCAGUUAGAAUCUUGUUUAAGAUACUAGGAGCACGUCCUGGACUAAAAAUUUCUACAUAAGCUUUAGCAACAACCUUAUAGCUUCCUUUGACUUUUUUGUAGAGCUUACAGAAUGUAUGGCUGCCUAAGUAAUAGUCUCUGAAUUAAUGGGUAAAAAAUAUAUUAUGAGUUUUUUAUCCUCACGUAUGGUGCUAGGCUAUACUGGAUUUGGGCUAACAAAAGCUUGUUAACUUUUUUUUGUCUCAUUGACAGAAGUAUUUUAUAUCUCAUAUUUUACAUUACAUAGGUGUGUGUGUGUGUAUGAAAUAAAAGUUUGAAAAUAAAGUGAUAUACUCUUUUUU
rnacentral:antisense_RNA from 1 species